AAACUUCUAAGUUUCUUUUGGGGGGGAAUUUCUUAUAAUGAUCAAAUUGAUCUUCACCUAAAAGUUUUGCUGAAAUUGGAGUGAUUAUUGAAAUUCUCAAACUUGUUUUCUGCUCUCUUUUUAUUUUUCUUCUAUCCUUUCUUCAUGUGUUCCCAUAAGCUCCUUAUAUGUAUAUAUGAUUAAUAUUAAUGUAUAAGGUGAUUUAUUUUUUAAUAAAUAAGAAUGAGAAUUGCCUGUAGUAGCAGGACAUUCCUAUGAGCUUGCUUGUGUGUAUCUUGAAGAUGACUUGCGAAGUUCUAAUAGGGUGACAAUUUUUACAUUUUAUGUUUCAAUUCUACAUUAAGUUCAGAUGUAUAGGCCAUAUAGGGACUAGGACAGGUCCUUUUGUUCAUAUAUUCUCUUAGCCUUAGGUUGCUUUCAUUGGGCGAUCCAUAUGUUCUAUUUAGCAUCUUGUUUCCUAUAUGCUUCAGGUUAGAGUGAGAUUUUCUCCCUUCUUUUUUCCUACAUAUUGAGAUCUUCCCAGGAGCUGAAUAAAUGAUAUUAAUCAUUUAACUUUCAUUUGAUAAUAAAGUUUCUAUUUGUGAUAAUAAAGUUUCUAUUUGAGAUAAAGAUGCUUCUUCUGUUAAUUACAUUCUCUGCUUUUCUCCUUGCAUUUUUCUUUCAGGCUGUAAUGAUUUAUCACAGAGAAAUUGUCAAUUAUUUUAAGCAGAAAGGUGUAUCUGUGAUAUUUCUAUUUCGAAGAAAUCUUUUGGGGAGGCUUGUAUCUGUGCUGGCCAAUGCCUAUGAUAGAGAUGCAAAGCUAAUUAAUGGCACCCAUAAAUCUCAUGUGCAUACAAGGGAAG
rnacentral:misc_RNA from 1 species